AUGAACGCUAGCGGCAGGCCUAAUACAUGCAAGUCGAACGAUACUUUCCAGCUUGCUGGGAAGGAAAGUGGCGCACGGGUGCGUAACGCGUAUGCAACCUACCUUAAUCAGGGGGAUAGCCCGAAGAAAUUCGGAUUAACACCGCAUAAAAUCACAGUAUAGCAUUAUACAAUGAUCAAAUAUUUAUAGGAUUAAGAUGGGCAUGCGUGACAUUAGCUAGUUGGCGGGGUAACGGCCCACCAAGGCUACGAUGUCUAGGGG
rnacentral:rRNA from 1 species